CUACGGGAUGCUCCAGUGAGGAAUAUUGCACAAUGGGGGAAACCCUGAUGCAGCAACGCCGCGUGGAGGAUGACGCAUUUCGGUGUGUAAACUCCUUUUAUCAGAGAAGAAAAUGACGGUAUCUGAUGAAUAAGCUCCGGCUAACUCCGUGCCAGCAGCCGCGGUAAUACGGAGGGAGCAAGCGUGUAUUCGGAAUCACUGGGCGUAAAGGACGCGUAGGCGGGUUUUUAAGUCAGGUGUGAAAUCCUAUGGCUCAACCAUAGAGCUGCACUUGAAACUGGGGACCUAGAGUAUGGAAGGGGCAGGUGGAAUUAGUGGUGUAGGGGUAAAAUCCGUAGAUAUCACUAGGAAUACCGAAAGCGAAGGCGACCUGCUGGGACAUUACUGACGCUGAGGCGUGAAAGCGUGGGGAGCAAACAGGAUUAGAUACCCCGGUAGUC
rnacentral:rRNA from 1 species